UUCGGUAUGUACUGGCUUUACUGAUUCCUCCUUCUUGACGAACCGUGAUGUCAUUAAUUUGGUGUUGCGGGAAAUCAGGACUGUUACUUUGAAAAAAUUAAGUGUUUAAAGCAGGCUAACGCUUGAAUACAUUAGCAUGGAAUAAUGAAAUAGGACGUUAAUCCUAUUUUGUUGGUUUCUAGGAUCGACGUAAUGAUUAAUAGGGAUAGUUGGGGGCAUUAGUAUUCAAUUGUCAGAGGUGAAAUUCUUGGAUUUAUUGAAGACUAACUACUGCGAAAGCAUUUGCCAAGGAUGUUUUCAUUAAUCAAGAACGAAAGUUAGGGGAUCGAAGACAAUCAGAUACCGUCGUAGUCUUAACCAUAAACUAUGCCGACAAGGGAUCGGAUGAUGUUAUUUUUAAUGACCCCCCUCGCCCCCCU
rnacentral:rRNA from 1 species